rnacentral:rRNA from 1 species
UACAGAGGUCCCGAGCGUUGUUCGGAUUCAUUGGGCGUAAAGGGUGCGUAGGCGGUGGGGUAAGUUGGAUGUGAAAUCUUGGGGCUUAACCUCAAAAUUGCAUUCAAUACUGCUCCGCUCGAGUUCUGUAGAGGAGAUUGGAAUUUACGGUGUAGCAGUGAAAUGCGUAGAUAUCGUAAGGAACGCCAGUGGCGAACGCGAAUCUCUGGGCAGCAACUGACGCUGAGGCACGAAGGCCAGGGGAGCAAACGGG